rnacentral:lncRNA from 1 species
GAUCGAACCAAGCCUCCGCAAUUUCAGAAUCUCCCUGCCGAAUGGCCUGUUCUCCUCGGUCAGAAUAGGCAAGCAAAUUCCUUCCAUUAGAACCAUACUUGAGAGUUUCCUACCUCAUAUGGCUCAGUAGUCAAUUCUUUAUGGUGUCCCACUUUUUCUCGAGUUAACCAAAAAGGGUUAAUUACAUAAGUUUCAAACUUUUUUUUGAUUAAUAAUCAGUUUUAUCUUUUCUCCCACCUUCAGAAGAAUAAAGCGUAGGCGUUCUACUAUCGUUAUAAUUUUCUGAAAGGUAACUAUCUCGGUUUUAUAUAUAAAUAUAUAUAGAAUCUUUGAAAAAGACCUUCCCUCAUAAGAAAGGCUUACUAUCUUUGGGAUCUGAUGCUACACCGCUGCUCAAUACUUUAGGGGAUCGACUCUGUUACAUAAGUUGAUUCCUAACUUUUGUCUCAUAUUAUGACAUAAAUAAGCAGUUCUUAUUGUAUCGGCCAAAAAUCUCGCUAAUUGAUCUUUACGAUGCUUCCUCUAUCAAUUAGAUCCUUUAUCCAUAGAAAAAAGUAUCUAGGCAUAUUUUUCUUCACAUUUUGACUUCUAUGAAGGUGCUUUCUUUGCUACAGCUGAUAAAAAUCGUUGUUUUGGACGAUGCAUAUGUAGAAAGCCUAUUUCUAGUAAAUUUUUUUCUUUUUUUUUUUCUUUUUUCUUUCUAUAGUGGAGAUAGUCGCACGUAAUGACAGAUCACGGCCAUAUUAUUUAAAGCUUGUGGUAAGAAGGGGUUUCGUUCUAGUGCCCGAAAAUAAUAUUCCAAAGCUUUUGUGUGUUCUCCAUUACUUGUGUGAAUAAGGCCUAUAUUAUAGAGUAUAUAACUUCGAUCAUAGGGAUCAAUUUCUAGCCGCAUAGCUUCAUAAUAAUUCUGUAAAGCUUCUGCAUAAUUUCCUUCGGAUUGAGCAGACAUUCGUUACGGUCGUCAUUCGAUUCAAAGAAUCUCCGUUCCAGAACCGUACGUGAGAUUUUCAUCUCAUACGGCUCCUCCCUUAUGUGCAUAAUGAGAAUAAUACAUAACAUAGAAUAAAAAGGGAGUGAAAUAUUCUCAUUAUGAACUGAGCGGGGCUAGUGUUUUUACAAGAAAUCUCUAGCCAACCUUCCUGCAAAAGAUCUUUUCUUAACAUCAAGCAUGUUGAUACUAGAUAAAAAUAUUAAGUUAACUCCAACAAUUUCUUUGUCCUCAAUCUUCCUUAAUUUAUAGGAAUUAGUCACUUCAACAGCCUUCGAUGGUUAUACGGGUAUCCAAAGUACGAACGAGAUGGAUGUUUGUUGUCCCAACCAUUCCUCUUAGUCCCGAUCCCAAUAAAGAAAGGGAUAAUUUCUAACAAAGUUUUUGCGUUGUUGAUUUCUAGGCGUAGUGCUUCUUCCUCUAUGCCGCCUAUUGGUACUAGUGGUGUAGGGUUAACCUGCAAUACAGAACCCAUAGCCAUAGGCAUAGGUGUAACCUUUCGUUCAAUGCUAGAAUUGACAAUUGAAGCAUUUGAGGCUGCAUUAAUCGGGGAUACCCGACAGAAGGAAUUGUUUUAUUUAUAAACUUCACCUUCAACAAGUGUAGAGUUAUUCCAAAUCUUUCUAUCCCGACUAAUGUGUCUUUCUCCUAAGAUUUGAAGCGGUAAAUAAAAAAAUCAAAUCACACCAUCUCUGUAAUAAGUAAAUGCCUCUUUUUCUCCCGAAGUUGUCGGAAUUAUUCGUAAUAAGAUAUUGGCUACAACUGAAAAAGUCUUAUCAAUAAAAUUUCCAUUUAUCCGAGAUCUAGGCAUAGGUAGCAAUCCAUUUUCUAAUUUCUUUUAAUUACCUCUCAUGAGAAAACGAUCCCACAAAAAGUAGUUGUAUAGUACAAAAUAACAUAAAAAACAGACUCAAUUAAAAAAAAAAGAUAGACCGAUCAUUCGAGUUGUUCCAAUCUAAUGAUUUAUAAGCCGGUAUAGAUAUCAAAAAAAGACGGAAGGGCUGUCUUCACAAACACGAAUAAAUAUAUAUCUUUAUUGUUUUUAACAAAGAGUUUUUUUCACAAAAACAAAAUUAUCUUUAUCCCCCAAUUUUGGUUCUUUAUUUGAUUAAAAAUUUUCUAUUUUGAUUUUUAUAGUUUAUAGUUAGAAUUGAUGGUACGUACCAUACCUAUCCAACAAUCUAAUAUAAAUUAUAAAUGACUCGCGAUUCACUCGGGUUCUGGGCCAUAAUCAUUAUGCAGGAGAGAUGGCCGAGUGGUUCAAGGCGUAGCAUUGGAACUGCUAUGUAGGCUUUUGUUUACCGGGGGUUCGAAUCCCUCUCUUUCCGUAUCUUCACCUAAUUUAUCAAUGUUACGGAUCGCAAUGUAUCAAAUCACAUAACAAUGGAUACCUUUAUUCCAACAGUUAGACCUUUCCUUGAUAUAGAUUCUCUAUUUCUAAUUUCUGCGGUACAGAAAAUACCGCAGAAAAUGGAAAGGAAUGAAAAUAUCCCUAUCGUUCUAUGAUAUAUGAACGGGAGAAAAAUCUCCCGAUCAAGCCCUUACUUUCUUUUGAUUUCUUUACUUAAGCGACAAGGGGGCAAAAUUAUCCGAACCCUUGUUAUUUUAGUUAGGUUUAAGUCUGACGAGAAUAAUAUUCUACCACUAGCAAUUCAUUUAUUUUCAAGCCAACCCAUUUACUAUCUAUUAUUUGAUUGACCAAUCCUUUAUAUUGGAAUGGGUGAAGAGUCAAAUGUUUUGGCAAUUCCUCCUGGGGGGAUGAAUCAAGAUCAUUUUGAAUCAUAGCUCUAGAUUUUUGUUCAUCCCUCGCUGUAAUAAUAUCUCGGGGUUUGCAGCGAUAACUUGGUAUAUCUACUAUACGACCAUUAACUAAAAUAUGUCUAUGAUUAACUAAUUGGCGGGCUCGAGGAAUAGUUGACGCCAUACCCAAUCGAAAAAGGAUGUUAUCCAAGCGCAUUUCAAGUAAUUGUAGUAAAACCUGACCUGUUGACCCUUUGGCUUUUGCGGCGAUACGAACGUAUUUAAGUAAUUGUCGUUCUGUAACACCAUAAUGAAAACGCAAUUUUUGUUUUUCUUCUAAACGAAUACGAUAUUGAGAUUUUUUACCGGAGCGUGAUUGAUUUCUAAGAUCGCUCCCGACUCUAGGCCUUUUACUAGUUAGUCCCGGCAAAGCCCCCAGACGGCGUAUUUUUUUGAAACGAGGCCCUCGGUAACGUGACAUAAAAACUCCUUAUUUUUUUUAUUGUUAUUGAAUUUUCAGAAACCUAAAUUAAAACUGAACUAAAUUAAAACUGAACUAAAGGAUAAAUAUGAUAAAUGAAGCAAAAUCUACUAUCUACUAAAUUAGUAUACUACAAAGAAUAAUGAGGUGGAUUGUAUCAAUAUCCGGACCUUAUUCCUUAUUGACCUUAUUCCUUAUUGUAUAUAUACCAAUAAUGUAUAUAGAAAAAAGGUCCUUUUCUUGUUCUUGAUUUGUUCUGCAGAGAUUUAACUACAACUUUUAUUCAUAUUAUUCCUAAUUGGAAGUUCCUACCACAUAAUAAUCGGUCACCCUCGGAAAAAAGGGAAAGAAGCUUUUUCAAUAUUCUUUGAUUUAAAAAAACAUUAUCAAUCAUGUAAAAAAUAAAAAAUCAAACAAAUAGAGAAAAGCCGGCUAUCGGAGUCGAACCGAUGACCAUCGCAUUACAAAUGCGAUGCUCUAACCUCUGAGCUAAGCGGGCUCACAUAACAGAAAUUGUACAUGCAUAGGAAUUUAGUAAACUAAUGGAAUCUUGGCUAUUAACUUUUUAUUCUUUUCAUUCUUAGUUAUUCAUAAUUAAUUAUUAUGAAUAUAGAAAAAGAAUCGAUCGUUCGAGUAUUCAAAAUUGCACGAGAAAAAAAUGAGAGUAAGAAAAGUAUAUGUAAUGAAUGUGGUAUAUGUACAUCUAUAUUGAAUUGCGGAUAGAGAAAUGAUAGAAUCCUUUCUGAUUAGACUAAAUAAGGGUCUCUGAUAGAGAUGAAAGAAGAUAAACAAGAAAUAAAAAAAUAAGAGGAAAGACUUUUUAUAGGAAUCGGUAUCUAAUGACUUCAACAGUUCCAGUAGAAUAUAAAUGAAAAAGGAGGGGUAAUAAUAAGAUCUUAAUCUCAAAACAAAAACAAAAAAGGGGAUAUGGCGAAAUUGGUAGACGCUACGGACUUAAUUGGAUUGAGCCUUGGUAUGGAAACUUACUAAGUGAUAACUUUCAAAUUCAGAGAAACCCUGGAAUUAAAAAUGGGCAAUCCUGAGCCAAAUCCUGUUUUCCGAAAACAAACAAAGUAAAGACAGAAUAAAAUAAAAAAGAAAAUAAAAAAAAAAAGAAAAUAAAAAAAAAAAGGGGGGGGGGAUAGGUGCAGAGACUCAAUGGAAGCUGUUCUAAUAAAUGGAGUUGACUGCGUUGCAUUAGUAAAGUAAAGAAAUCCUUCCGUCAAAACUUCAGAAAAGAUAACCGUAUAUACAUACGCAUACGUACUGAAAUACUAUCUCAAAUGAUUAAGAUUAAUAGGGGCCCAAAUCCGUAUUUUUUUAUCUUUAUAUGAAAAAUGAAAUAAAAAAAAAAUUGUUUUGAAUUGAUUCCAAAUUGAAGAAAGGGUUGAAUAUUAAUUGAUCAAAUCAUUCAUUCCAAAGUCUGAUAGAUAACUGAUUAAUCGGACGAGAAUAAAGAUAGAGUCCCAUUCUACAUGUCAAUAUCGACAACAAGGAAAUUUAUAGUAAGAGGAAAAUCCGUCGACUUUAGAAAUCGUGAGGGUUCAAGUCCCUCUAUCCCCAAAAAAGGCCCGCUCGACUCCCUAAUUAUUUUUAUCCUAUUCUUUCUUUUCGUUAACGGUUCAAAUCUCAUUAUCUUUCUCAUUCAUUCGAUUCUUUCACAAACAUAUCCAGGCUGGAUUUAUUUUUACAAGUCUUGUAAUAGAUAUGAUACACAUACAAAUGAACAUCUUUGAGCAAAACAAGAAUCCCCAUUGGGAACUGGAAUGAUUAACAAUCCAAAUCAUUAUUCAAACUGAAAUUUACGAAGUCGUCUUUUUAUUCUUUUUAUUUUAAAGAUACAAAACAUUCCAGGUCUGGAUAAAGGCUUUUAGAAUACUUUUUCGUCUUUUUUUUAAUUGACAUAGACCCAAGUCGUUUAGUAAAAUGAGGAAGAUGACGCGCCGAAAAUGGUCGGGAUAGCUCAGUUGGUAGAGCAGAGGACUGAAAAUCCUCGUGUCACCAGUUCAAAUCUGGUUCCUGGCAUUGUGUAUGAGUAUCUAUUCUAUUGUGUAUGAGUAUCUAUUCUACAACUUAAUUAAAUUAAUUGAUAUAGAUCGACAUACAUAUUCAUUAAUAGUAUAGAUCAUGAUAUAUACUUAACUUAUCCAUCUAGAUGUCUGUAGAUAGAACCUUUUUAGAUGAGUAAAGAGUUUAUGUUAUAAAUAAAGAGUUUCUAUUAUAAAAAAGUAUGUAAAAAAAAUUAGAUUAUGUUUCGUUUUCUCUUCUUUUUUAUUUGAUUUGUUCAUAAUGUGUGUCUCCUCUCGGUCAAAAAGAAUGUUAAUACUUCAUAUAGAUUCGAAAGGUUAAAGUUAAAUUAGUUAGUUAAAAGACCUAAAAGUCUAGUCUAUAGGAGUUGAAGGGUGUAAAUAUCCAAGAUUCGUCUCAGAUACAGUAUAAAUAGAAUCCGAUCCUCUUUCAUUUCUUUAUUUUCUUUCAUAUUCUAUUUUUUCAUUCCUUCCUAUGUUAUGUGACUUUAUGUAGCUAUGUGACUUUAUAUAGCUAUGUGAUUUUAUAUAGUUAUGUGACUUUAUAUAGCUCAUUUAAGUAAGGGAUGUGCGCGGUACAAAGUUCAUGAUGUAGAAUUCGUUUAGUUCAUCCUAUUAGUUAGCUCGGCUCGUCCGAAAUCAAUAUCUUCAAAAUUUGAGAAUUCAAUGAAUUCCUAAUUGUAUUAUUAUUAUUUAUUAUUAUUUUUUUUUAGUCUAUCCAUAAUAAAUAAUAAUAUAAAUGAGACUUCAAAAACUCUCUUGAUCUAUCAAAAACUCUCUUGAUCUAUAAGAGAGCGUACAAACAUUCCUUGAAUAUCUGGAGUUGUAACACUGAAGCUUAGUUUCUUAUUAUUCAAUGAGCAUCUUGUAUUUCAUAAAAAUUGGGAGCAAUAUAAUCCUUACGUAAGGGCCACCCUAUCCAACUUUCCGGCAUUAAGAUACGUUUCAGACGCGGAUGAUUAUCAUAAAAGAUUCCCAGCAUAUCAUAAGAUUCCCUUUCUUGAAAAUCCGCACUUUUCCAAACCCAGAAAACAGACGGAAUUCUAGGAUUUUUCCUUGGGGCAAAGACUUUUAUACAUACUUCUUCUGGUUGAUCUAUACCAUACUCUAUUCUCGUAAGAUGAUAUACACUAGCUAACAGCCCGCCCGGUGCUACAUCAUAGGCACAUUGCGAACGCAGAUAAUUGUAACCAUAUACAUAUAAAAUGACAGCAAUGGAAUGCCAAUCUUCGGGCUUUAUUUGUAAAGUCUCUAUUCCUUGGUAAUCAAAACCCAAAAAUCUAUGAACUAGCCCAUGUUUGACUAGCCAAGCAGACAAACGACCCUGCAUCUUUUUUCUCUCUCCCGCAUUUGUAUAAUUAUAAUAUAAGUAUUUCACAUUAACGAUGAAAUUUAUGAAGAUUGACUUGCCUUUUGUUAUUCUGUACAAACGAAUCCUUCCUCUAAUUUACUAAUUCGUUAGACGAUACUGACCUUUUAUAUUUGAAAAAUGUUUCAGGAGGGAUCUUUGAAGUAGACGGCGAUUGAUAGAGUAAUUCUUGAUCAUAAUUUCCGGUAUGAGUAGUGCGUUCAAUAUUAAACUUGUGAUUAGUAGUAAAACACCGUUUCCCCGGUUGAGACCUAAUUCGAUCUUCAUAAAUUUCUCGAGAUAUUUUUUUACGAAGUUUUGUUAUAGCAUCUAUAACCGCCUCCGGUUUAGGUGGACAGCCUGGCAAAUAGACAUCUACAGGAAUUAGCUUAUCGACCCCCCGAACAGUACUAUAAGAAUCGGUACUGAACAUUCCCCCUGUAAUUGUACAUGCCCCCAUAGCAAUAACAUAUUUUGGUUCAGGCAUUUGUUCAUAUAAUCUUACUAAAGAAGGAGCCAUUUUCAUGGUUACUGUGCCGGCUGUUAAAAUCAGGUCCGCUUGUCUAGGACUAGAUCUUGGUACUAGCCCAUAACGAUCAAAGUCGAAUCGUGAGCCUAUUAAUGAAGCAAAUUCAAUGAAGCAACAACUGGUACCAUAGAGAAGUGGCCAUAAACUGGAGAGUCUUGACCAAUUUGAAAGAUCAUUUGAUGUAGUUGAAAUAACUGAAAUUUGAGUUGUUCGAUCAAGUAAAGGAAACUCAAUGGAAUUCAUAAUUUUCUCAAUGUUAUUUUUUUUUUUUCAUUAUUUUUUGCGGAAUAUUCAAGAGCUAAGCUAAGACCAUUCUAAUGCUCCUUUUCUCCAUGCAUAAACUGAACCAACAAUUAGGAUAAGCACGAAAAUUAAAGCUUCUAUAAAUACGGAUAACCCCAAUACAUCGAAACUCAUUGCCCAUGGAUAAAGAAAAACUGUUUCAACAUCAAAAACAACAAAAACUAGAGCAAACAUAUAAUAACGGAUUCGAAAUUGUAACCAAGCAUCGCCUAUUGGUUCUAUACCCGAUUCAUAACUAGAAAGUUUCUCCGGCCCUUUGCUAAUCGGGGAUAAAACUCCGGAAAUUAGAAAUGCUAAAAUAGGAAUAACACUUGAUAUUAUUAGAAAUGCCCAGAAUAUAUCAUAUUCGUAAAUCAGAAACAUAGGCGCACUCCUAUGAAUGUGGAAAAUAUACUAGAUUAGUCGAGUCGGAUUGGAAUUAAUUCCAAACUCAUCUAUAACCGGUUCGGUUAAUCAAAACAACAAUUUAUUUUGAUUUAACCACCUAGUUUUUUUGUUUGUUUUGGUAUAUGUCUCGUUUCAAGAUUCGUCGACUAUAAUUUUUUCAUUACGUUUAUUUCAAUUUUUGAAUUUUUUUUUAUAUUGAUAUAGUAUAAAUAGAUAUUGCUCUUAUAUUUAUAUAAAAUAUAAAGAAUAUAUAAAAUAUAAAAUAAAAGAAUAUAUAAAAUAUAAAAUAAAGAAGACCCCCCCCCCGCCUUUUCACUUCACCUUUGAUUCUUUCUAAAUGAUUCUUUCUAAAAUUGAAUAUGAUUAGAAAUUGAAUAUUCUAAAUUGAAAGAAAUUUCAAUUUUUUUUAUUUCUAUAUUUAUCUAUAUUUUUUUUAUAUAUUUUUUAGUUUAUUAAAUUUAUUAAUUUAUAUAUUAAAUUUAUUAAUUUAUAUAUAUAUAUAAAUAUAUAUAUAAAUUAAUUUUCUUAUUUUUUCUUAUUUUCUAUAUUUAUAUAUUUUAUUAUUAUUUUAUUUUAUUAUAUAUAUAUUUAUAUAUAUAUUAAUAUUAUUUUUAUAUAUAUAUUAAUAUUAAUAUUAUUCUAUAAUAUUCUAUAAUAAUAUUCUAUAAUUAUUCUAUAAUAGAAAUAGAAUUAUAUUCUAUAUCAAAUAAUAUUAUUAUUUAUUAGAAUAUUUAUUAUAUAGUAUAUUCUAUUAUAGAAUUUAAUAAUUUAGAAAUUUAUAUAUUAUUUUAUUUAUAUAUUAUUUUAUUAUUAUUUUUUAUUUCAUUUAUUUAAUUAAUUUAUUUAAUUAUAUAUUAUUUUUAUAUAAAAUAUAAAAUUAUAUAUUAUUUUUAUAUAAAUAUAUAAAUUUUUUAUUUAAUUAAUUUAUUUAAUUAUAUAUUAUAUAUUAUUUUUAUAUAAAUAUAUAAAUUUAUAAAUAUUGAAUUUGUUUUGUUUGAAUUUUUUUAUUUAUUUUUUUUAGGGCUAUACGGACUCGAACCGUAGACCUUCUCGGUAAAACAGAUCAAACUGAUUUUUAUCAAAAUGAUUCGAACUUUUUCAAAGACCCAACAUGCAUUUUUUUGUUUUGCAUUGGGCUCGUUCAUUAACUGAUAUAAAUAAUCCGUUAGUCUACCACAAUUCUCUUGGCAGAAAGAUAAGAAGAUGGCUCCAUGUGCUCUGAUUUAUGGAUUCCGAUCCAAGAGCACUACCAAAGUGUUUCAAAGAAGGGUUAUCCUGACGUAGGUCUGCUUUUGGCUUAGAUCAACCUAAGUUAAAUGGAAUCUCCAUCGCCCCACUUCUGCUUAAAGAAUCCAAUAUGAAACUUCAUACACCUUAAAGUUCAUAGGAUAGGACGAAAAGAAAAUUUUUUGAGGUCCUUAUACUCAUUAUGCCUAGCAUUGAAUAGACUGGGUAUUCACCUUAUCAAGGUCUUAAAAUCAAUAAUCAACGAUGGGUUCUGUUCUAUUGGGCGUCUAAAAGUUCACCUAAAUUGGACCGAACCUUUUGUGUCAGGCUAUUGUUCUCUUGUUCCCUAAAAGUCAUGGAAUAAGACAUCGACUUCUCAAUAAGUCUUUUGAUUACAUGAUGGACUCCUUUGAAAAAAACAUUGGCGCGCGUGUAAACGAGGUGCUCUACCUAACUGAGCUAUAGCCCUUGUGUUUGUGAUACAUAUUUUAUCAUGUUGAUAAUUUCUUGUCAAGAUGAAUAUUAAUAUUAUAUGAUCCAACAUCCUAUUUCUUUGAUCUCUUUGAUCGGUAUUGCUUAUAAAAAAUAUCCCAUUUAUAAUUAAUAUUACAUUUAUAAUCCAUCGAUGUAACGGAUUCCAUCUCUUUGUGAUGAUAAAUGACCUACUUAACUCAGUGGUUAGAGUAUUGCUUUCAUACGGCGAUAGUCAUUGGUUCAAAUCCAAUAGUAGGUAGAACUUAUUAGAUAUCAGAAUCAAUGCUAUCUAAUAAGUUUUUUGACCCACCUUAUUUUAAUUUUAUUGAUUUUUGAUCUUUUUCGUUCCAUUCUAUUUCAUUUUUUGAAUUGAAAAAAUUUUCGUUGUAUUAGAAUCCGAUUCUACUUAUGAUUCUAUUCAAUUGGUAGAAUAAAAAAAAGUGUAUAAACAGAACUUCUGUUUAUACAGAAGUUCUUUUGGUUAUUCGGGCGCACCAACUAGUUAUAGUUACGAAAUCUCAUUGAGAGCCUCUACUCGUGCCCUAGCUCGUCUGAGAGCUAGAUUUGCCUCAAUUAUUUGUCUCCUGCCUUCCGCUUUCCUCAAGUUAGCUUCUGCUAUUUCAAGAGUUUGCUGAGCUUCUUGUGGAUCAAUGUCACUACCCUUCUCUGCAUCAUUUACUAAAACAGUAAUCUCAUUAUUGCCUAUUCUAGCAAAACCACCCAUCAGAGCCAUCGUUAACCAUUGGUCAUUAAGGCGUAUUCUCAAAAUACCGAUAUCGACAGCUGUGGCAAUAGGUGCAUGGUUUGGUAAUACGCCAAUUUGUCCACUAUUAGUAGAUAAAAUGAUUUCUUUCACUUCUGAAUCCCAAACAAUUCGAUUCGGGGUCAGUACACAAAGAUUUAAGGUCAUUUCUUCAAGUUGUUCUCCAUUUCUAAGUUCGUAGCCUUCGCAGUAGCUUCAUCAAUAUUACCUACCAAAUAAAAGGCCUGCUCAGGGAGACUAUCUAAUUCUCCCGAAAGGAUCAAUUUAAACCCUCUAAUUGUUUCUGCUAGACCGACAUAUUUCCCCGGAGAACCGGUAAAUACUUCUGCUACGAAAAAGGGUUGUGAUAAGAAACGCUCAAUUUUUCGUGCUCUUGCUACAGUUAAGCGAUCCUCUUCGGAUAAUUCGUCCAACCCAAGGAUAGCUAUAAUGUCCUGAAGUUCUUUGUAACGUUGUAAAGUUUGCUUAACUCUUUGCGCAGUUUCAUAAUGUUCCUCACCAACAAUCUGAGGUUGGAGCAUAGUUGACGUUGAAUCUAAAGGAUCUACUGCUGGAUAGAUACCUUUAGCAGCUAAUCCUCUUGAUAGUACAGUAGUAGCAUCUAAAUGUGCAAAUGUCGUGGCAGGAGCAGGAUCAGUCAAAUCGUCCGCAGGUACAUAAACUGCUUGAAUAGAAGUUAUGGACCCUUCUUUGGUAGAAGUAAUUCUUUCUUGUAAAGAGCCCAUUUCGGUACUAAGGGUAGGUUGAUAACCCACAGCGGAAGGCAUUCUACCCAAUAAGGCGGAUACUUCGGAUCCUGCUUGGACGAAACGGAAGAUAUUGUCGAUAAAUAGAAGUACGUCUUGUUCAUUAACAUCUCGAAAAUAUUCCGCCAUAGUUAGGGCAGUCAAACCAACUCUCAUACGAGCUCCCGGCGGUUCGUUCAUCUGACCAUAGACUAGAGCCACUUUUGAUUCUGCAAUAUUUUCUUCAUUAAUUACUCCAGAUUCUUUCAUUUCCAUGUAAAGAUCAUUUCCUUCACGAGUACGUUCGCCUACUCCGCCAAAUACGGAUACACCCCCAUGAGCUUUCGCAAUGUUAUUGAUUAAUUCCAUAAUAAGUACUGUUUUACCCACUCCAGCUCCCCCGAAUAGCCCGAUUUUUCCUCCACGGCGAUAAGGGGCUAAAAGAUCUACUACUUUAAUUCCUGUUUCAAAAAUAGAUAAUUUUGUAUCUAACUGUAUAAAGGCAGGUGCAGAUCUAUGAAUAGGGGAUGUUGCGCGAGUAUCUACAGGACCUAAAUCGUCAACAGGUUCUCCAAGCACGUUGAAAAUUCGUCCUAGAGUUGCCCCACCGACUGGAACACUUAGAGGGGCUCCUGUGUCAAUCACUUCCAUUCCUCUCGUUAGACCAUCUGUAGCACUCAUAGCUACAGCCCGAACUCGAUUAUUUCCUAAUAAUUGUUGUACUUCACAAGUCACAUUAAUUUCUUGACCGGCAGUAUCUCGACCCUUAACUACCAGAGCGUUGUAAAUAUUAGGCAUCUUGCCCGGGGGAAAAGCUACAUCUAGCACUGGCCCGAUGAUUUGAGCGAUACGCCCCAGGUUCUUUUUUUCAAGCGCGGAAACUCCCGGACCAGAAGUAGAAGUAGUAGGAUUGAUUCUCAUAAUAAUAAAAAUAAUAAAUAAAAAUAAAAAAUAUGUUGAAUUUUUUUUUAUUUUCUAGUCCAAAAUAAAUGUUCGACGGCAAGUUGAUCAAUUAAUUCAGUAAAAAAUUGGAGUUAGUACUCAAUUUCGUUGAGACCAUCUAAAAAAUCCAAUUCAAUUGUUUACUUAUUUUCAAUUUCAAUGAGUGAAUUUUCAAGUUCAACUAACUCAUUUUAAAAAAUAUAAAUAUCAAGUGGAUGAAUAAAAAGGCUUCAGAAAGCCUUUCAUUUGUCUAUCAUUAUAGAUAAUACUAUCCAUAUUUUCUAUGGAAUUCGCUAUUUAUGAUUCAUGAUUUUUAUCUCAUGGGCCUUUCUUUUUUAUUUCAGCAUAUCGAUUUACGCCUAGUUAUUAUUAUUUUCUUUUUUUCAUAGGUGAAUUCUGCAGAUUUUCACAUCUCGGAUUUACAUAUACAACAUAUAUCACUGUCAAGAUAAAAUUUCUUAUUAUUUAGAUAUUUUGAUUCAAAAAAGUUAAGGAUUAGAAACUUGAAAAACAAGGAAUGGGUUGCGCCAUAUAUAUGAAAGAGUAUACAAUAAUGAUGUAUUUGGUGAAUCAAAUACCAUGGUCUAAUAGCAAAAUUCUGAUUAGUUGAUAAUAUUGGUUGAUAACUUUGUGAAAGAUUCCUGUGAAAGGUUUCAUUAACUCCUAAUUCAUGUCGAGUAGACCUUGUUGUUGUGAGAAUUCUUAAUUCAUGAGUUGUAGGGAGGGACUUAUGUCACCACAAACAGAGACUAAAGCAAGUGUUGGAUUCAAGGCUGGUGUUAAAGAUUAUAAAUUGACUUAUUAUACUCCUGACUAUCAAACCAAAGAUACUGAUAUCUUGGCAGCAUUCCGAGUAACUCCUCAACCUGGAGUUCCGCCUGAGGAAGCAGGAGCUGCGGUAGCUGCUGAAUCUUCUACUGGUACAUGGACAACUGUGUGGACCGAUGGACUUACCAGUCUUGAUCGUUAUAAAGGACGAUGCUACGGCCUCGAGCCCGUUCCUGGAGAAGAAAAUCAAUAUAUUGCUUAUGUAGCUUACCCAUUAGACCUUUUUGAAGAAGGUUCUGUUACUAACAUGUUUACUUCUAUUGUGGGUAAUGUAUUUGGGUUCAAAGCCCUACGCGCCCUACGUCUGGAGGAUUUGCGAGUCCCUCCUGCUUAUUCUAAAACUUUCCAAGGGCCUCCUCAUGGCAUCCAAGUUGAGAGAGAUAAAUUGAACAAGUAUGGUCGCCCCCUAUUAGGUUGUACUAUUAAACCAAAAUUGGGGCUAUCCGCUAAGAAUUACGGUAGAGCAGUUUAUGAAUGUCUUCGCGGUGGACUUGAUUUUACCAAAGACGAUGAGAAUGUGAACUCCCAACCAUUUAUGCGUUGGAGAGACCGUUUCUUAUUUUGUGCCGAAGCAAUUUAUAAAGCACAGGCUGAAACAGGUGAAAUCAAAGGGCAUUAUUUGAAUGCUACUGCAGGUACAUGCGAAGAAAUGAUCAAAAGGGCUGUAUGUGCCAGAGAAUUAGGAGUUCCUAUCGUAAUGCAUGACUACUUAACAGGGGGAUUCACUGCAAAUACUAGCUUGGCUCACUAUUGCCGAGAUAAUGGUUUACUUCUUCACAUUCACCGCGCAAUGCAUGCAGUUAUUGAUAGACAGAAGAAUCAUGGUAUGCAUUUUCGUGUACUAGCUAAGGCUUUACGUCUGUCUGGUGGAGAUCAUAUUCACGCUGGUACCGUAGUAGGUAAACUUGAAGGGGAAAGAGACAUUACUUUGGGCUUUGUUGAUUUACUGCGUGAUGAUUUUAUUGAAAAAGAUCGAAGCCGCGGUAUUUAUUUCACUCAAGAUUGGGUCUCUCUACCAGGUGUUCUGCCUGUAGCUUCAGGGGGUAUUCACGUUUGGCAUAUGCCUGCUCUGACCGAGAUCUUUGGAGAUGAUUCCGUACUACAAUUCGGUGGAGGAACUUUAGGGCACCCUUGGGGAAAUGCACCCGGUGCCGUAGCUAAUCGAGUAGCUCUAGAAGCAUGUGUACAAGCUCGUAAUGAGGGACGUGAUCUUGCUCGUGAGGGUAAUGAUAUUAUCCGUGAGGCUAGCAAAUGGAGUCCUGAACUAGCUGCUGCUUGUGAAGUAUGGAAGGAAAUUAAAUUUGAAUUCGCAGCAGUGGAUACUUUGGAUAAAUAAGGUGAAACCCACUAAUUGACGUUCGUUCUCUUAAUUGAAUUGCAAUUAAACUCGGCCCAAUCUUUUUUUUUACUAAAAGGAUUGAGCCGAAUACAAAGAUCCUAAUACAAGAAUCCUACUAUAAUAUAUUUUUUGUAUAUAUUUUUGAUAGAUACAUAUUUAUUUAACUAAAUAUACUAGAUUUUAAAGACAAAAUAUAAGACUAAGCAAGUCAAACCUUUCUAUUGUUAUCUUGGAUCCGCAAUUAAUCCUAAGGAUCUAUAGGAUUGGUGUAUUCUUUUAUAUUCCCUAGUUUCGGUCAUGGGUCGAGUCUAGUAUCACAACUUCUUCUACCCAUUCUGUAUAUUGUCCUUUUCCUUCCGUGUUGGAAUAGAAACUUAUUAAUAGACGAGAUUUUACAAAAAAAUGUUUUUUUUCCUAUUUUUAGGAGAAAAGAAAUAUUAUUUUCUCGAUGCGAAUUUGACACAAUAUGACAAAUUCCUUUUCUAUUUAUAUUAAGACUUAUUCUAGAAUUUGACACAAUAUGACAAAUUCCUUUUCUAUUUAUAUUAAGACUUAUUCUAAUUGAAAAAGAAUUGAAAACGGGAUUCCAUCAUAACCAUAUCAUAUAUAGUGAAGCGAUACCCCGGGUUCUUACAAAAAAAAAGCAAAAGAGAAUCGUUUUUUUUAAUACCCACUCCUUAUUCUUAUUAGUUAAUAAUCCUAGAAAUCGGAUUUAUAUACUUCUUCCGAGAAGAAAUGAAAUAUUUAAAUGAUUUUUCAUCGAAUGACUAUUCAUCUAUUUAUUUUAAUGUAAAUAGCAGCAAGAUGGAAAAACGGUGGUUCAAUUCGAUCUUAUCCAAUGUGGAAUUAGGAUACAGGUGUAGGCUAAGUAAAUCAAUGGAUAGUUUCAGUUCUCUUGAAAAUACCAGUAUAAGCGAAGACCCAAUUCUAAAUGAUACAGAUAAAAACACCCAUAGUUGGAGUAAUAGUAAUAGUAAUAGUGACAGCUCUAGUUAUAGUAAUGUUGAUCAUUUAGUCGGCGUCAGGGACAUUCAGAAUUUCGGCGCCGAUGAAACUUAUUUAGUUAGGGAUAGUAAUAAGGACAGUUAUUCCAUAUAUUUUGAUAUUGAAAAUAAAGUUUUUGAGAUUGACAAUGAUCAUUCUUUUCUGAGUGAACUAAAAAGUUCUUUUUAUAGUUAUUGGAAUUCUAGUUAUCUGAAUAAUGGGUCUAGGAGUGGCGACUCCCACUCUGAUCAUUAUAUGUAUGAUACUAAAUAUAGUUGGAAUAAUUACAUCAAUAGUUGCAUUGACAGUUAUCUUCGCUCUCAAAUCUGUAUUGAUAGUUAUAUUUUAAGUGGUAGUAACAAUUACAGUGAAAGUUACAUUUAUAGUUACUACAUUUAUAGUUACUUUUGUGGUGAAAGUGGAAAUAGUAGUGAAAGCGAGAGUUCCAGUCUAAGAACUAGCACGAGUGGUAGCGAUUUAAUUAUAAGAGAAAGUUCUAAUGAUGAAAGUUCUAAUGAUAAUGAUGAAAGUUAUAAUGAUAAUGAUGAAAGUUAUAAUGAUAAUGAUGAAAGUUAUAAUGAUGAUGAUGAAAGUUAUAAUGAUGAAAGUUCUAAUGAUAAUGAUGAAAGUUAUAAUGAUAAUGAUGAAAGUUAUAAUGAUGAUGAUGAAAGUUAUAAUGAUGAAAGUUCUAAUGAUAAUGAUGAAAGUUCUAAUGAUCUCGAUAUAACUCAAAAAUACAAGCAUUUGUGGGUUCAAUGCGAAAAUUGUUAUGGAUUAAAUUAUAAGAAAUUUUUUAAGUCAAGAAUGAAUAUUUGUGAACAAUGUGGAUAUCAUUUGAAAAUGAGUAGUUCAGAUAGAAUUGAACUUUUGAUUGACCUAGACACUUGGGAUCCUAUGGAUGAAGACAUGGUAUCUCUGGAUCCCAUUGAAUUUCAUUCAGAAGAGGAACCUUAUAAAGAUCGUAUUGAUUCUUAUCAAAGAAAGACAGGAUUAAGUGAGGCUGUUCAAACAGGCACAGGUCAACUAAACGGCAUUCCCGUAGCAAUUGGGGUUAUGGAUUUUCGGUUUAUGGGGGGUAGUAUGGGAUCCGUAGUAGGUGAGAAAAUCACUCGUUUGAUCGAGUAUGCUACCAAUAAAUUUUUACCUCUUAUUUUAGUGUGUGCUUCCGGAGGAGCACGCAUGCAAGAAGGAAGUUUGAGCUUGAUGCAAAUGGCUAAAAUAUCUUCUGCAUUAUAUGAUUAUCAAUCGAAUAAAAAGUUAUUUUAUGUAUCAAUCCUUACAUCUCCUACGACUGGUGGGGUGACAGCUAGUUUUGGUAUGUUGGGGGAUAUCAUUAUUGCUGAACCUAAUGCCUAUAUUGCGUUUGCAGGUAAAAGAGUAAUUGAACAAACAUUGAAUAAGACAGUACCUGAAGGUUCGCAAUCGGCCGAAUUUUUAUUCCAUAAAGGCUUAUUUGAUCUAAUCGUACCGCGUAAUCUUUUAAAGGGCGUUCUGAAUGAGUUACUUCAGUUCCACGAUUUCUUUCCUUUGAAUCAUAAAUCAAAGUAGAACCUUAAGUUAAAAAGUUAAAAAUAAUUUAAUUAAAUUAAUUAAAUUAUUUUUUUUUCUGGCGAGCAGGUAUUUUUUUUUAUCGGAAUCAAGGGAAAAAUCCGAAGAAUGGAUUUUUUUCUGAUAUAAGAGUAAAUUGUAGAACGAAUCAUGUAGAUAACUUUUUUACCAAUAUUCCUGAUUACUAAUUAAGUUAAGAAACCCCUAUCAACAAGAAAAAAGAGUGAAUUUUUUUUUCACGGAAAAAAUUGGCAAGGUACAAGGUAAAUAAUAAAUAAAACGAAUUUCAUGCUCUUUUCUUACCUAUGCAUAGAAAAUAUAGAGUCUUGCAUAUUUAUAUAUAUCUACCGGGAAUCCCUUUUUUAAUAAAAAUCCCUAUUGACGGAUCGGAUUAUAAAUUAUAACGAAUUUGGGGGAAUUUAUAAGCGGAAAAACUCUUUAUUUUUAUUUUAUUAAAGUAAAAUAAGAAAAUAAAAGUUAUAAGACAAGAAAAAAAAGAUAAUAAAAGAAGAAUAACAAAUAAGUGGAUUAUCAUAUAUAUUUCAUGUAGAAAUAUGAAUAAGUUAUUUAGUUAGUUCUACACUCUUUGCACUUUAUUAUAUAUACUCACUUAGAUAUACUUAGUAUAAUUAUAUAGGAAUUAUAAUGAUUAUAAGAUAUCUUUUUAAUAAUAUUUUAUUUUAUUAAUAUAAUAUAAAAUUAAUAUAAAUAUAAUAAGAAAAUAAUAAAAAAUAAUAAUAAAAAACAGGUACAAAUAUUAAAUCGAGGUGCCCAUUCUAUGACAAUUCUCAACAACUUACCCUCCAUUUUUGUGCCUUUAGUGGGCUUAGUAUUUCCGGCAAUUGCAAUGGCUUCUUUAUUUCUUUAUGUUCAAAAAAACAAGAUUUUUUAGAUCCGAUUAGGUCCGAUGGGGGUAGAUUUCAUUUAUUUUAUUUUUUUUUCAAGACUUAGACUUGGAUUAUAAUACAGAUAUCUAUUUAGUAUAAUAUGAUAUAACAUACAGGCUGCUCUCUUCAAACAUAAAUGAAAAACAUAAAUGAAAGGGUUCUUAUGCAGGCGUAAAUAUUAUAUAUGAGUAAGUGAACUAUUUGAAAAAAAAAAAUUGAGACUGUGGCGGAUGCCUGAAAUAAAUGCAAAGCCAAUGUUUUUAUAUGCGUAAGAGGAUCAUAUGAGGGAGCUCCCCCCCCCCCCCCCCCCUUUUUUUUUAAUCUAACGAAUUCGAUGAAUUCCUUCUAAACUAAAGAUUCACAUCAGAAUAGUGCGAGUUGAUGAAAGUUACUUCGGAAAAAAAAAGAAAGUCAAAUUCAUUUGGGCUAGUCUCCCACUUCAAAUAAAAAGCAACCGGAUCUAGUAUGAGUUGGCGAUCAGAACGUAUAUGGAUAGAACUUAUAGCGGGGUCUCGAAAAACAAGUAAUUUCUGCUGGGCCUUUAUACUUUUUUUAGGUUCAUUGGGAUUUUUAUUGGUUGGAAUUUCCAGCUAUCUUGGCAGAAAUUUGAUAUCUUUAUUUCCGUCUCAGCAAAUAAUUUUUUUCCCACAAGGGAUCGUGAUGUCUUUCUAUGGGAUCGCCGGUCUAUUUAUUAGUUCUUAUUUGUGGUGCACAAUUUUAUGGAAUAUAGGUAGUGGUUAUGAUCGAUUCGAUAGAAAAGAAGGAAUAGUGUGUAUUUUUCGCUGGGGAUUUCCUGGAAAAAAUCGUCGCAUCUUACUACGAUUCCUUAUGAAAGAUAUUCAGUCUAUUAGAAUAGAAGUUAAAGAGCGUAUUUAUGCUCGGCGUGUCCUUUAUAUGGAAAUCAGAGGCCGGGGGGCUAUUCCUUUGACUGGUACUGAUGAGAAUUUGACUCCACGAGAAAUUGAGCAAAAAGUAGCGGAAUUGGCCUAUUUUUUGCGUGUACCAAUUGAAGUAUUUUGAAAUGAGCUGAAGAAUGAACAUUUUCUUAACAGGAGCAAAAAAUCCAAAAGUCCUCUUUUUUCUAUAGCAUAAUUUAACUGAAAAUUCUUCACAAUAUUGAUGAACCAAAGAAGGCGUAUAUUAUAUAUAUAUGGAACAAUUAUAAAAUGAAACUUUUUUAUCUGCAAAAUUGUUUAUGCGUAUGUAAAUUCACUAAAUUCAGUAAUAAAACAAGUAAUAAAUCGAAAUAAUAGACCCAUCUCAUAGAGCAAAACAAAGCGUUUUGGAAUUUCGGAAUAAAAUAAAGAAUAAAGAAAUUCUCUUUUUAUUUUCAAUAUUUGAAAUUGAUGCGUUAGAUUUAGAUAUGGAUAGAUCAUAUCUUGUAAAUUAUCUCUCCUUUCUUUUGUCAAUCGACGUUUCUUUUUAUCUUUUUUUUGUCCUCCUUAAUGAAAAUGAACAAAGGGCUGGACCACUUAGAAUGAUAACUUUUCUGUCUUAUUUUGCUUUUGCCACUCAUUUUUGAUUAUCACAUCACACAAUAUUCUUCCGAAACCUUUCUCAAUUAUUCCUGUGGAAUAUGGGCAAGUUGGCCAUUUUUUUUUCGAAAUAUUUGUUUUGUUGAUAAAACGGAAUUCUUUCAUCUUGAAAUCCGAAUUUGAGGCGGCUUUUUAGGGCAUUCAUCGAAAAGAGGGAAUUGCUUCGAAUUUGAUGAGAUAUCUAGAAACAAUAUUUUUUUCUUCAUUUGUGUACUCUUUUUAGGCUAUAUUUUUUUUGUAUUCUUUCAAAAUUCAAGGACUAACCGCUGACUCACAAAUAAAAAACAGGGAAUAGAUUCAUAAGUUCGAAGCCUUGUAAUAGAUAAUAGAACUUAUGCUUGAUAGAAAUAUUAGAUCAUAUAGAAUCAAUAAAUGAGGUGAGUUCCUUAAAAAUUCACAGAUGAAAAAAUGGAAAAAAAAAACAUUUAUUCCCCUUCUAUAUCUUACAUCUAUAGUUUUUUUGCCCUGGUGGGUCUCUUUUUUAUUUAAUAAAAGUUUGGAAUCUUGGAUUAUUAAUUGUUGUAAUACUAGUAAAUCCGAAACUUUUUUAAAUGAUAUCCAAGAAAAAAGUAUUCUAGAAAAAUUCAUGGAAUUAGAAGACCUCGUUCGCUUAAACGAAAUAAUAAAGGAAUACCCGGAAACACAUCUACAAAAGUUUCGUAUCGGAAUCCACAAAGAAACGAUCCAAUUGAUCAAGAUGCACAAUGAGGAUCGUAUCCAUACGAUUUUGCACUUCUCGACAAAUAUAAUCUGUUUCAUUAUUCUAAGUGGUUAUUCUAUUCUAAGUAAUGAAGAACUUAUUAUUCUUAAUUCUUGGGUUCAAGAAUUCCUAUAUAACUUAAGCGACACAAUAAAAGCUUUUUCCAUUCUUUUAUUAACCGAUUUAUGUAUAGGAUUCCAUUCACCUCACGGUUGGGAACUAAUGAUCGGCUCUGUCUACAAAGAUUUUGGAUUUGCCCAUAACGAUCAAAUUAUAUCUGGCCUUGUUUCUACUUUUCCAGUCAUUCUCGAUACCAUUUUUAAAUAUUGGAUUUUCCGUUAUUUAAAUCGCGUAUCUCCGUCACUUGUAGUGAUUUAUCAUUCAAUGAAUGACUGAAAAAUGAUCCAUGAAUCCAAUUAAAAUCUUUGUUAUUUUGUACAUAAGUAAAACAUUCAAAAUCUUUCUUUAUCUUUAUAUAUACAUAUUUCUUUUUUCUAUACAUCCAAGGGAUUCUCUUCCUAUAUUUUCUAUUUUAGUAAAAAUUUUUCAGUAAAUAGCAGUAUCGUGGAUAGGGAACUAUACUAGCGACCUACCUAAUUUUAUUGUAGAAAUUUUCAGGAUCAAUGAUUGGACCAUGCAAACUAGAAAGACCUUUUCUUGGAUAAAAGAAGAGAUUACUCGUUCAAUUUCCGUAUUGCUCAUGAUAUAUAUAAUAACUUGGGCAUCCAUUUCAAAUGCAUAUCCCAUUUUUGCACAGCAGGGUUAUGAAAAUCCACGCGAAGCAACUGGUCGUAUUGUAUGUGCCAAUUGUCAUUUAGCUAAUAAACCCGUGGAUAUUGAGGUUCCACAAGCGGUACUUCCAGAUACUGUAUUUGAAGCAGUUGUUCGAAUUCCUUAUGAUAUGCAACUGAAACAAGUUCUUGCUAAUGGUAAAAAGGGGGCUUUGAACGUGGGGGCUGUUCUUAUUUUACCUGAGGGGUUUGAAUUAGCCCCUCCCGAUCGUAUUUCGCCAGAGAUGAAAGAAAAGAUGGGAAAUCUGUCUUUUCAGAGUUAUCGCCCCACUAAAAAAAAUAUUCUUGUGAUAGGUCCUGUUCCUGGUCAGAAAUAUAGUGAAAUUACCUUUCCUAUUCUUUCUCCGGACCCCGCCGCUAAGAAAGAUGUUCACUUUUUAAAAUAUCCCAUAUAUGUAGGCGGAAACAGGGGAAGGGGUCAGAUUUAUCCCGACGGGAGCAAGAGCAACAAUACGGUUUAUAAUGCUACAGCAGCAGGUAUAGUAAGCAAAAUCAUACGAAAAGAAAAAGGGGGGUACGAAAUAACCAUAACGGAUGCGUCAGAGGGACGUCAAGUGAUUGAUAUUAUACCUCCAGGACCAGAACUUCUUGUUUCAGAAGGCGAAUCCAUUAAACUUGAUCAACCAUUAACGAGUAAUCCUAAUGUGGGUGGAUUUGGUCAGGGGGAUGCAGAAAUAGUACUUCAAGACCCAUUACGCGUCCAAGGCCUUUUGUUCUUCUUGGCAUCCGUUAUUUUGGCACAAAUCUUUUUGGUUCUUAAAAAGAAACAGUUUGAGAAGGUUCAAUUGUCCGAAAUGAAUUUCUAGAUCUGUAAAUUUAUCAACAUCAAGUUCUUUAAAAGAACAAAAAUUUUGUUGGUAAUUAUGUUUAUGUAUGAUCAAAAAAAAUUGUGAAAAGCUCUUUGCUUUUUUUAUAUUUUUUUUAUACCAGCCAGAUUUUAGGAAUUACUUGUACCGCAUUUCUAGUUAUAAUCUGUAUAUUAGUAAGAAGACUAUUUGACUUUAUCCUCUCUUUUCUUUUGUGUUUUUUUUUAAUCUAAAAAAAUAAAAAAUAGGAGCGGUGUGAUUUUUUUACUAUUGUUAGAUUUAACUGUCAUAGAGUGGAUUAAUAGCUUUUCUAUUCUAAUAGAAUCAAAUUUGAUUAGAUACUAAGCAUAAAAUAAGUAAGCGGAAAAGCAAAGGCUAAAUUAAGGGGGAACAAAGGGUUCUAGGAGGUAUUAUUUUAUUCGUCUUCCUAGUCUUCGACACAAGAAAAGGAAUUUUCCACAUCCCUUUCUUGUGUCAAAAUCAAAAUAAAAUAAUAAUGGAUUCUUGAUCCCAUUCUUCAAUACUAUUCUUAGUUUCUAUUUUUUUCUCGGUUUAUCAUCACUUCCUUUUCAAUUUUAUACGUAUAAAUUCGAUUUAUUACGUUACGUAUAAAAAAAUUUUUAGUAGUGGACAAACAAAAAAAAGAAAAGGAAAUUUUUUAAGCAAAUAGAACUUCUUCGAUGAACUUCUAGAAAAAUUUCAACUUUGAUGAGAUACUAAAAUAAAUAGAGUAAGGUUCUAUUUAGUAUAGAAAAAUAGUAUAGAAAAAUGGAUAUGAUAUGGGAUCGACAGAAAUAUAUAAAAUAUAUAUUAUGCCAUCUAGGAAAAGGAAAUCGAGUAAUUCCUCUUAUAACUUUGAUUUGAAAGUAUCGAUAGAUACUAUCGAGGAACAAAUGUUCUAAAUCAAUUAAUGGAGUUACUUUUUCAAAAAUACCAUCCGAAAAAAAUGUAAUAGAAUUUUUUGAAAUAUUUGAAAUAUCAAAAAAAAAGGCAAUCUAUUUUGUCACUUAUACGAAUAAAGUAUUAUGAUUAUUAAAAACUCAACGGGACCCCCUCGAAUCAGACAGAUAAAAGAGGGGGGUCCGUUGAGUUCUUACGUUUUUAUGUCUACAACUCAGUUCACCUGAUUACUUACAGGGAUGAACCCAAUCCGGAAUAUGAACCAUAAAAGAAAAUGCCUAUUAAACCGAUCACAAGAAUACCAGUUACAGUACCUACUAUCCAAAGAGGAAUUCUUCCAGUAGUAUCGGCCAUUUAUCCCACUUCCCUCCACAUUUAAUCAAGUGGUCAUGCUAGAGACAUAAACAGUCAUAGAUAAUUAUGAGAUGAUAUCCUUCCGAUGGGAUAAGAGAAUUCCUAUUCUUAUUUAUUUUAUUAUUCUACUAUUUUCUAAUUAUUUCUUCAAUCAAUUGAAGAAAUAAUUAGAAAAUAAAACAGCAAGUACAAAAAUGAGUAAUAACCCCCAGUAGAGACUGGUACGAUUCAAUUCAACAUUUUGUUCGUUCGGAUUUGAUUGUGUCAUAGUUCUAUAAUUAAUUGGGAUUAGAUUUAUCGUUGGAUGAACUGCAUUGCUGAUAUUGACCCCAAAAAAGAAACGGUAGGUACAGCUAGUCCGUGAACAGCCAACCAUCGUACUGUAAAAAUUGGAUAGGUUCGAUCUAUGGUCAUUGGGCCUCCUAAAAAGAUUUACUAAAUUCAUCGAGUUGUUCCAAAGGAUCAAAACGGCCAGUUAUUAAUGGAAUUCCUUGUCGGCUUUCGGUAAAAUAUUCAUUUGGACGAGGACUUCCAAAUACAUCGUAAGCUAAACCCGUACUGACGAAUAACCAACCUGCAAUGAAUAGGGAAGGUAUAGUAAUGCUAUGAAUGACCCAAUAUCGAAUACUGGUAAUAAUAUCAGCAAAAGAACGUUCUCCUGUGCUUCCAGACAUACUGAGCUCCACAUAUUCUUGUACAACCAAAAGGGAUCGAUUCUGUAAAAGAUGAGAUCAGUAAAUGAAAUUUCACCGAAAUUUCAUCUUUGUAAGAUCGUCAAUAUUGUACCAAGGGUUUGUUUAAAGUAUACCGAAUCAGUAUAGCUAUCCUUCUUCUAACACAGCAACGCAACUUCAAUCAGUAUUGAAAUGAAGUCCUAGAUAAUCUCUUUCUUCUUUUCUUUUUCUUGUUGCUGUAGAAUUGUAUAAGAUCAGGUAAAAUGCGAAUUUGGCGGGUUGCAAUAAUAAUUUAUGAAAGAGAUUAUCAUAUUUCCGCAAUUCAAUUAGAUGUGAAAUCUAGAUGUGAAAUCUAAAACUUUUGUGGUUAUAGAAGAAGGGUUUUUUGUUGGAAUCCCCCCUUUUUCAUUUUAUUCAUUUUAAGGAAUUGGUUAGUCAUCCAUUAACAAGUACCAGUAGUAGAGAAGAUUCGAUGAAAGAAGGAGAACAGCAAAAAAAUAAUUGGAAUAAUCAAUAUUCGCGAUGCGCGUAUUCAUGUAUUAGACCCAAAAGGUCUUUCUUGACACUUAACUACAAAGAAAAGAAGUUUUUUUUAAUAUGGAAAAAAUGUAAAAUCUAGAAAAGAAAAAGAUAAUCGGAAUUAGUAGUCUUAGAAUCUAUUUGUACAAAAACAAAAGAAAGAUUUGAUUUUUCGAGUGAUCUGAUCAUGCGAUACUUUUUCGAGAUAUUGUGUGAAUGAAUCCACUAAUAAAUCUAAUAAGAGUUAAAUUAAAAUUUAAAAUGAAAAUAGAAAAAAGUAUAAAGAAAAAGAUAUUCUAAAGAAAAAUAGAGGGUCAUUUUUCAUUUUAAAAUCUAAAAAACGACACAAAUUCGAUACAAAUAUACAAAAUAUACAAAUAAAUAGUAAAUAAAUAUUAAAAAUAAAUUUUAAAUAAACUAAAAGAAACUAUCAAAAUAGAAAUGAUUUUAAAAUUUUAUUUUGUAGUGAUUUUCGUAGUAAUUCAAAGAAAGUUUUUUGAAUAAAGUUAUACAACAGUUUUUACUACUUAUUAUUUUAUUUUAUUUAUUUACUUCUUAUUUAUUAAUCUUAUUUAUUAUUUAUUAAUCUUAUUUAUUAAUAUUUAUAAUAUUUAUUAAUAUAUUUAUUAAUAUUUAUAUUGAUAAUAUUUAAUUAUUGUAAUAUUUUAUUGUAAUCUUAGUUUUCUAUUUUAUUUAUCUAUUUUAUUUAUCAAGAGUUGUCUAACAAAUCUCUUGAUUCGGAAUCACGAGAGUAUAAGUAGAUGUCAUAGAUGAUAAAUUGAUUUAUUUUUUCUACCUGUAUCACUCUAUUUUAUUAGUGCCGUCUAUAAUCUAUAAUGAUAAUGAUUGAUAAAUAAAAAAAAAAAAAAUUCUCAAUUGAACUUAUUCUUUCAUUUGGUAUUUUUGUUUAUCCUCGUAUUUUUUAUCUUUUAAAAAAUUUAACUUAGGAAAAUGCUUUUGCUUUACAAGCAUACGUAUAAAAAAAGUUUAUUUAGCUCCCUCAUGCCUACUAUAACUAGUUAUUUCGGUUUUCUACUAGCGGCUUUAACUAUAACCUCAGUUCUAUUUAUUGGUCUGAGCAAGAUACGACUUAUUUGAAAGUAAUUGAAUGAACAAUUUAUAAAAAGAUUUAUAAAAAGAAAAGGAAAUUUUUUGACAGUAUUCCAUCUAUUUUCUAGUUCUUUAUCGUGUAAAUUUACAA